rnacentral:lncRNA from 1 species
CAUGUAGUAUAAAUGAUGCAGCCUCCUAGUGGAAGUUGCUGGGAUGGAGGCUGAGUGCUUUUAAGCGACACUCAAGAUAGAUCAGAAUGUCAAGGCCUAAAUGUUUUGUGGGAAACCUGAUCAGCACUAUCUGAUCAAUGGUAUAUAGAAAAUUGUAUUAGGAAAUUAGAGGCUUAGAAACCACUGCUCUGCUAUAAUACUCAGAAGAAUCAGUCCUCUGAGUCCAGGUUAAAUUGAAAGACAAUUUAAUUGAAUUAGUAGUACUUUUGUCUUUCGUAAAGAGACUAACCCGGGGUCUGUGGCUUAAAUUGUUUGCGAGCUAUUGCGCUUUGAAUAUCUGAAUGGCUGUCAAAUAUCGAAUGUCAAACUAACUUUACCACUGUAGAAUUAACAGGUGAAUAUAAUGAAACAACUAUUGAUAACUGUUUAAACUUUUUAAAAAAUUAUAUUUUCAGUGACAUCACAUUUCAAUUACGUGUGUGUGUUAGUCUCCUGACUUAAGCCCACAAUUGUUUUGUUUGUUUUUGAUUACCAUAUAUCCGUAUUAGUGUGAUAUUAAGGGACCCCAACUUUAAACUAUCGUUUGUGUUGCACUUUUAUUUUGAAACAAAAAAUGGGUAAGGAAGUCAGCACUUCACGUACAAGAGACGUUGUAGAAGCAACAAGAAUUAGAUUUGUGUCCUGUAAUGUCCUCAAAGGGGCAGUUAAUCAACGCUUUCUUAAAAUAAAUAAGGCGACAAAAAUUGAUAGGUAGUACUAGGUUAGGAGCACGUGUCAAUGGAUAACGACGCAUUUCAAUCGCAAACAACGUCAAUUCUGUCUGUUUUUAUUGAAGCGGCCCUUGCGGAAAUGUGCAAAGUUGAGCAUGAAAGGUCAAUCGUGGCUUCAUAUAGUGGAAUAUCUUGCAAAUGCUAUGAAGGAGAUCAACAAUGUAACACAGAGGUACAGCUGGUCUCCAUCAUGCACUUGUUGAUCAAGGAAACGGUUCGAAAAUUAUGCAGGUUAUUUGCAGAGUGUACUGCAAUGCUACAAAAUGAAAACAAGACCCUGAAGAGUAAGCUGACAUUGAUGGUGACAUCGUUGGACUUAGGCAGUUCUUUGUCCCCACCCAGUGUAAUGAUAUAUGGGGAGACCUCAGCAUCAUCAGUGGAAGAACACAGCAAGGUGGAUAGAUAAAGUUUUUUAAAUGCCCUGCUGUAUUUGGUGCAGUUAUAAUGUUUAUCUGUUUUUGUUUGUUUCUAUUAAUUUGUGUACAUAUGUACAGUAUUUAUGUUGUUUUGCAUAUUGUCUUGUCUUGCAUUUAAGUCUCUUCAUCUAGGUGGCCAUUAAAAAGGACAUGUGGUUCUCAACCGACUUAGCUGGUUUAAAUUAUGGUUAUAUAUGUAUACAAACAAAUCUACCUAAGCCAAAUAAGGGAGUCAUUCUAACAGAAGGAUUUGUGUGUGUGUGUGUGUGUGUGUGUAUAUUUACAUUUGUGUGUGUUUGUAUGCUUUGUUGUCAGCCGGAGGAUGGAUCAAGCAGCUGUUCCAUCAAGUGUGAGGAGAUCUCUGGAAACAAUGCUACAUCAGGUAAACUCUUUCUUAUCUAAGUGAUUCUGCUCAGUAG